CCCCUAGUAACUGCGAGUGAAGCGGGAAAAGCUCAAAUUUAAAAUCUGGCGGUCUUUGGCCGUCCGAGUUGUAGUCUGGAGAAGUGCUUUCCGCGCUGGACCGUGUAUAAGUCUCUUGGAACAGAGCGUCAUAGAGGGUGAGAAUCCCGUCUUUGACACGGACUACCAGUGCUUUGUGAUGCGCUCUCGAAGAGUCGAGUUGUUUGGGAAUGCAGCUCAAAAUGGGUGGUAAAUUCCAUCUAAAGCUAAAUAUUGGCGAGAGACCGAUAGCGAACAAGUACCGUGAGGGAAAGAUGAAAAGCACUUUGGAAAGAGAGUUAAACAGUACGUGAAAUUGCUGAAAGGGAAACGCUUGAAGUCAGUCGCGUCUGCCGGAACUCAGCCUUGCUUUCGCUUGGUGCAUUUUCCGGUAGACGGGCCAGCAUCGAUUUUGACCGUCGGAAAAGGGCUGGAGAAAUGUGGCACCUUCGGGUGUGUUAUAGUCUCUAGUCGCAUACGGCGGUUGGGAUCGAGGAACGCAGCGCGCCGCAAGGCAGGGGUUCGCCCACUUUCGCGCUUAGGAUGCUGGCGUAAUGGCUUUAAACGACCCGUCUUGAAACACGGACCAAGGAGUCUAACAUGCCUGCGAGUGUUUGGGUGGUAAACCCGAGCGCGUAAUGAAAGUGAAAGUUGAGACCUCUGUCGUGGAGGGCAUCGACGCCCGGACCUGACGUUCUCUGAAGGAUCCGCGGUAGAGCAUGUAUGUUGGGACCCGAAAGAUGGUGAACUAUGCCUGAAUAGGGUGAAGCCAGAGGAAACUCUGGUGGAGGCUCGUAGCGAUUCUGACGUGCAAAUCGAUCGUCAAAUU
rnacentral:rRNA from 1 species